GCAACGGGACUUAAUCUUUUCUCUCUUCUGAGUUAUCAUGAUUUCCUCAAACGCAUAGGAAAAAUGGCUCUCUUUGGAUGAUGAAAUCGUAGCAGAUGCAACAUCAAACACCGUCAUAUAUAUGAGAAACCGUUAUUGUUGUUCCUCGUAAAACAAUGUCUUCUCCGAAAAUUUCAUUCUUGUUUCUUUUUUUUCUUUUUGUUCUCUUUAUGGACAUCACCAGCUUCUGCAACCAAAAAGUCUUACGUGGUAUAUAUGGGAUCGCACUCGCAUGGCUCAGCUCUUACAAGGGCAAUUCUCCAGAGGGUAUCAGAUUUCCACAUUAAUUUCCUAGCAACAUUCUUGGGAGGCAAAGAUAAAGCAAAGGAAUCCAUAUUUUAUUCAUAUAGAAGGCGUAUUAAUGGUUUUGCAGCUGAUUUGGAAGAGAAAUUUGUAUCUCUUAUUCAAUGUAAGUAGGAGUAAUAUUUAAUCCUCCCUCU